UGUUUUUGUUGUUGUUGUUAUUGGCAUGAAUAAUUACUGGAAAAAUCGUAACUCUGUUGCACAUGCAUAAUGCAUGUCGUCGGUCAACACAUGCUCACAUCCAAUAAAAUAGUUCAAGGCAUAAAACUAAUCCUGGUCAAACAAUACUCAAUACUUCUGCUUAAAGUAUAUUCAAUCUGAACUGUAUAAGUGCCCCAGCCAGAACAACGAAUAUGCGGGAUCGAAGUCCCCGGAAGGACACAGUAGACAGUACUAUUGGUAUAUUACCUAUAUAACAUGCUAUAAUAAUUGAAAUUGUUACACAACGAAAGCAUACUUAAAUAUUCUCCCGGCCUUGUCAUCGCGUAUCUUUGAUUUCAAACACAUUUUCUAUUCUUUAAGUUGUUGGAAUUUGCACGCAACAAAUUCAGGUCUUUCUUUUUAACUAAGCAGCUUUAUCAUGAGGCUA